AACGUCCAUGUUUACGUCACUUGUCCUGAAUGUAAACUAGGAGGCCUGCGUUAUUGUCGCUUUACCAAGUAUUGAAAAAAAAAAGUAAGCUUGGAGAACAAUCAAGACAUUAUGGAAUUCAGUGUUGGCUGAAUGCAAGCCUUUAAUGGUUUCACUUGGAAACCAAGUGAAACCAUUAAAAUAGAAGGGCGUUUCAAAAGACCCAAAUCGCCUACAUCUCUCUUCACACCUUUCCUGAUCUGCACCAGCGUCUUUCUUCACUUCAAGCUCCUACAGGCAGUGGACAAAAUGUGUUAUCUCCAGUCUGUGCGAGAUGCUAUCAGUAAUCAGGUGUCUGGUGCGUUCCUGUUGUAUAAGCAGAAUAUAGACACCCUUGCUAUAUAGACACCCAGAGAUCUGCAGUCGCUCCAUCCGUCGCUGACAUGUUGGAGUGUCUUCAGGAUGCGGGGCGUUACUAUCGUCAACAGUUUCCUUUCUGUGUCGCUGUAUUACUGUACCAUUACUAAGGAUGCACAAUACAUUGUCAUUGUGAGCAUGCCACUAGACUGCAUACUGCCGAGGAAGGCUUGAUGCUUAAACGCGUCACUUCAGUUUGUGGCAUUAUAAAUCUUGAAAUCUACCAUUUGGUAAAGGUUGUCAUAUUGUUGAUUUGUGUGAGAAAGACACUGUGGGCUGAUGACCUCUCCCUUCUGGAAACUGCUCCCAAGAGUGCCUUCAUAAAGUAUUCACACCCCUUGAA